CGGUAAUUCCAGCUCCAAUAGCGUAUAUUAAAAUUGUUGCGGUUAAAACGCUCGUAGUUGGAUAUCUGCCAAGGGGUUCCGGUCCUCCCCAGUGGAGAAUACACGGAACUCUUCUUGGCAUUUGUUCAGGGAAGGUGUUUGCACUUUAUUGUGUGUCACAUGAUCUGAAUUUUUACUUUGAGGAAAUAAGAGUGUUUCAAGCAGGCUUUUGCCGUGAAUAUGAUAGCAUGGAAUAAUAGCACAGGACCCCUUUCCAAAGCUGUUGGUUUUUGGAACGAGGUAAUCAAAAUAAGGAUAGUUGGGGGUAUUCGUAUUUAACUGUCAGAGGUGAAAUUCUUGGAUUUUUUAAAGACGAACUAUUGCGAAGGCAUCUGCCCAGGAUGUUUUUGUUGAUCAAGAACGAAAGUUAGGGGAUCGAAGACGAUCAGAUACCGUCCUAGUCUUAACCUUAAACUAUGCCGGCUGGAGAUUGGAGUCGUCAGAUUUUGACGUCUUCAGCAUCCUGAGAGAAAUCUAAGUCUUUGGGUUCCGGGGGGAGUAUGGUCGCAAGGCUGAAACUUAAAGGAAUUGACGGAAGGGCACCACCAGGAGUGGAGCCUGCGGCUUAAUUUGACUCAACACGGGGAAACUUACCAGGUCCAGACAUAGAUAGGAUUGACAGACUGAUAGCUCUUUCUUAAUUCUAUGGGUGGUGGUGCAUGGCCGUUCUUAGUUGGUGGAGUGAUUUGUCUGGUUAAUUCCGUUAACGAACGAGACCUUAACCUGCUAAAUAGUUUCCAGGACUUCGGUUCUCGGCUUACUUCUUAGAGGGACUUCGUGUGUUUAACAUGAGGAAGUUUGAGGCAAUAACAGGUCUGUGAUGCCCUUAGAUGUCCUGGGCUGCACGCGCGCUACACUGAUGUGUCCAGUAAGCACCUAACCUAAUCCGAAGGGACUGGGUAACCUUUGCAACGCACAUCGUGAUGGGGAUAGAUUAUUGCAAUUAUUAGUCUUGAACGAGGAAUUCCUAGUAAGCACAAGUCAUCAGCUUGUGUUGAUUACGUCCCUGCCCUUUGUACACACCGCCCGUCGCUCCUACCGAUUGAAUGAUCCGGUGAAUACUUCGGACUGCGAAAUUUUUAGUUUCUAUUCUUUUCGCGGAAAGUUGAAUAAACCUUAUCAUUUAGAGGAAGGAGAAGUCGUAACAAGGUAGCCG
rnacentral:rRNA from 1 species